CUGUGAGGGCCAGAUUUAUAGACUAAUAAGAUGGAGGUGAUGUCACACGGGACUCUUUAUCGUUUCUCUAGGUAUUGUAUUGACGAUCAGAAAGGUACACCUUAUAGAGACCAUCCCACUGUGAGGGCCAGAUUUAUAGACUAAUAAGAUGGAGGUGAUGUCACACGGGACUCUUUAUCGUUUCUCUGGGUAUUGUAUUGACGAUCAGAAAGGUACACCUUAGAGAGACCAACCCACUGUGAGGGCCAGAUUUAUAGACUAAUAAGAUGGAGGUGAUGUCACACGGGACUCUUUAUCGUUUCUCUGGGGAUUGUAUUGACGAUCAGAAAGGUACACCUUAUAGAGACCAACCCACUGUGAGGGCCAGAUUUAUAAACUAAUAAGAUGGUGGUGAUGUCACACGGGGCUCUUUAUCGUUUCUCUAGGUAUUGUAUUGAU